rnacentral:lncRNA from 1 species
CUUCUCUUUAUGCUCUCUAACAUUUUAUAUGUUGUUGUUGAGCAAUUGUUCUCCAAUUCAUUGUUAAAGCUAGACCAUUUACAACAACACAAGUUCUACCAAACAAUUAGAGUAAGCUUCUAAGUGUCAAAAUUAUACAUCCAUAAAAUUCCAAUAGAACCUUAUUACUCAAAUAUUUUAGCAAAAUUACAUUGUAGUUGUAAAAUAAAAAUGAGGGCAUUGUUGUAUUAUAUAUGUUCUUGUUUGAGAAUGAAUUCGGCACUUAGCUGUAGAAGGUAAAUAAAAAUGCAGCAACAAUCCUACCAAGUCUAAUAGAAUUUCAAAUAAACUUUAAAUAAACCUUAAUAAUCCUAAUCAAACUUUGACCAAUCCAACAUAAAUUUAAAAGAAGUUAUAAAAAAAUCACAAAAGUCCUAAACUAAUCUAAAAAAAUAUAAAAAUAAAUCUUUAAAAAAAUAUCAAUAAACCUAAAGAAAUAUUAGAAAUAAAAAAUCUUUAAAAAAAUCUUUUUAAAUACUAAAAAUAGAAUAAAUAAAUAAAUAUUAAUCAUAUUCUAAUGUAAUCCUAACUAAAACCUUAAUGAAUCUUAACCAAAUCUUAGGUCAAAUCCUAAUUGAACCUUAAUCAAAUCCUAAGUCAAAUCUUAAUUGAAAUUCUAAUUGAAUCUUAGACAAAUCCUAAAUCAAAUCCUAAUUAAAUUCUAAUCAAACUCUAAAUCUUAAAUAAUUCUUGUAGGAGAUUGAAACCUCAAUGUUGAAAAUCAAGUCUAAAAUCCAUAUAGAACCUAAUGAUUGAACUAUUGAUAUCAAUUCAAAAUUUGUAUACUUUUUAACAUCUUAAUUAGAAAUAAGUACAAAAAAGAUGAAAUUGAUUGCAUUUACUAAUUCAAAGAAAUAUAAGAUAAUCCAAUCAGGUAUUGAACAGCCUCCUACUCCAAUCUAAAUGCUAAACUUCCAAUGCCAAUAUCUCCUUCUUGAACUAUUAAAUUGUACUCAAAUUUCAUCUAAAUUUUGAAAAUCAAGUCUAAAAUCUAUAUAGAAAAUUAUACUUCAAUCCAAGUGAGAAAUUGCUUAAG